UUAAUUGAAACCAAAUUUAGAGGUCUAUCACUGUUAAUGAUAAAAUUGAGUAUUAUCCAAUUAAA
rnacentral:tRNA from 1 species